rnacentral:rRNA from 1 species
GAUGAACGCUGGCGGCGUGCCUAAUACAUGCAAGUCGAGCGAACAGACGAGGAGCUUGCUCCUCUGACGUUAGCGGCGGACGGGUGAGUAACACGUGGAUAACCUACCUAUAAGUCUGGGAUAACUUAGGGAAACCGGAGCUAAUACAGGAUAAUAUAUUGAACCGCAUGGUUCAAUAGUGAAAGACGGUUUUGUUGAAACUUAUAGAUGGAUACGCGCCGCAUUAGCUAGUUGGUAAGGUAACGGCUUACCAAGGCAACGAUGCGUAGCCGACCUGAGAGGGUGAUCGGCCACACUAGAACUGAGACACGGUCCAGACUCCUACGGGGGGCAGCAGUAGGGAAUCUUCCGCGAUGGGCGAGAGCCUGACAGAGCUACGCCGCGUGAGUGAUGAAGGUCUUCGGAUCGUAAAACUCUGUUAUUAGGGAAUAACAAAUGUGUAAGUAACUAUGCACGUCUUGACGGUACCUAAUCAGAAAGCCACGGCUAACUACGUG